UACGGAGGGGCUAGCGUUGUUCGGAAUUACUGGGCGUAAAGCGCACGUAGGCGGACCAGAAAGUCAGGGUGAAAUCCCGGGGCUCAACCCCGGAACUGCCUUUGAAACUCCUGGUCUUGAGUUCGAGAGAGGUGAGUGGAAUUACGAGUGUAGAGGUGAAAUUCGUAGAUAUUCGGAGGAACACCAGUGGCGAAGGCGGCUCACUGGCUCGAUACUGACGCUGAGGUGCGAAAGCGUGGAGAGCAAACAGGAUUAGAUACCCUGGUAGUCCCUGA
rnacentral:rRNA from 1 species